GGAGAGAUGGCCGAGCGGUUGAAGGCGCACGCUUGGAAAGCGUGUGGUCAUUGAAAAAUGGCUCCAGGGUUCGAAUCCCUGUCUCUCCG
rnacentral:tRNA from 1 species